rnacentral:rRNA from 1 species
UUCCAGACUCCUACGGGAGGCAGCAGUGGGGAAUAUUGCACAAUGGGGGAAACCCUGAUGCAGCGACGCCGCGUGAGUGAAGAAGUAUUUCGGUAUGUAAAGCUCUAUCAGCAGGGAAGAUAAUGACGGUACCUGAGUAAGAAGCCCCGGCUAACUACGUGCCAGCAGCCGCGGUAAUACGUAGGGGGCAAGCGUUAUCCGGAUUUACUGGGUGUAAAGGGAGCGUAGACGGCAUGGCAAGUCUGAAGUGAAAGCCCGGGGCUCAACCGCGGGACUGCUUUGGAAACUGUUAAGCUGGAGUGCAGGAGAGGUAAGUGGAAUUCCUAGUGUAGCGGUGAAAUGCGUAGAUAUUAGGAGGAACACCAGUGGCGAAGGCGGCUUACUGGACUGUAACUGACGUUGAGGCUCGAAAGCGUGGGGAGCAAACAGGAUUAGAUACCCCCGUAG